GGCUACUCCUCAGCUGGCCACUAGAGGUGCUUCCUGGGCCAGUGCUGCACAGUAGGCAGCACUGCCAUUCAGCAACUCCACGAUAUACAUGGAGACACUGAAUUUUCCUCAUAGAGAUCCAUUGAUUCAAUGCAUCUCAAUGAAGAAGUGCUGAUUGGCCAAAACAGCAUUUGGUCCGCUCCAUCCCACCUCUUUGCCGAUUUCCAUAAAUCCAAUGCUUUCCCCAUUGGAUUGGCUAAAAAUCGGAAAAUCGGAUUAUGUCAUCAAGGAAGCAAAAUAAGGUGAGUUUCCACCUUUUCUAAGGAGGCUAAGGGGGUGCAAGUCACCUGAACAGUGGAUUAAACACUAUAGGGUCAGGAAUACAUGUUUGUGUUCCUGACCCUAUAGUGUUCCUUUAACUGCUAACCCAGAUUGUUAUAUAAGAACUCACAACACAUGAUAAUUUAGAAGAAUACUAGAGAACACUGUCAAC